ensembl:lncRNA
AGUUAUUCCCUUUGCAGUUGAUACAAUGACAAGCACACACCAUGAAGUCAUAAGUUGGAAUUACCCUGACAAUGUCAGUAUUAGACCAAAACUAACUGAGAUCAAGAAGUAAAUGCAGGAGUUCCCUGGUGGCCUAGCAGUUAAGGACUUGGUGUUGUCACUGCUGUGGCAUGUGUUACAGUGUGGCUCAGGUUUGACCUCUGACCCAGAAACUUCCACGUGCCAUGGGUGUAGCCAAGAAAAAUGAACUAAAUAGAAUUUUAAAAAGUAAAAGGUAUAAUUGACUCAAUGGAUAAACUAUACUGUGAAAACUGAAAAAAGAAAAAUGUUCAUAAAAAUAGCAAGAAAAAAAAAGAUAUCAUGUAAAAAGAACAUACCAAUAGAGACAUCCAGCUUCUCAGUAGCAAUGAUGGCAAUUAGAUAAUAUUUUCAAAAUAGUUUCAAUAUUUUCAAAUGCUGAGAGAACAUGUCAACAUAAAGUUGUAUAGUCACUCAUUAUAAUUCUGUGACAUAUCUUCCAAAAAUAUGAGCAAAAAUUGACACACUAUUGAGUGAAAAGAACCUAAAAUAAAGGGCAUUCUAAAGUAUUCAACUAAAAGAUUCUGACAUAUUAAUACUUGAGGAAGAAAGAGAGUGAUCACAAAAGUAUUAUCUAAAAGGUAAAAAGGAAUGAUGACCAAAGAAGCUAAUAAACAUUUCAUAAAUUUACACAGACAUUUUCUUAUUAAAAUAACUACUACUGAUAUUUAAUUUGUAGGAUUUUUAUCUAAUGAUGACUGAAAUUUUGUUUUCUUGGCCACACGUGUGGCAUGCAGAAGUUUCAGGCCAGGAAUCAAACUAGCACCACAGCAGUAACCAGAGCCACUGAAUGGGCAAUGUUGGAUCCUUAACUCACUGAUCCACCAGGGAAUCCUGGGAAUUAGUUUUAUGAGGUUCUUAUAUUACGCGUCUAUGACAUUGUUAGUUAUACUUGGUGAAAAUUCAAGAGUAACUACUAAAAGAAGUACAAUUCAUAAUUUCCAAAACCAGAGGAAUAGAGGGAAAACGUGUGAGACAAACAAACCAAAAUAUAUAGGCAUCUUUCUUUUUCUGUGUAUUUCUUUAACAUCAGAAAUGAUAGCAAAUAGAUGAGGCAGAACAAAUAGAAAGCCAAAAGUAAGAUGAUGAAAAUGCGAAAUGCCAUAGUCAUAAUAAAUGUAAAUAAAUGUGAUAAGGUGAAUUCUGGCUGGCCCCCCAAGAUUUCCUGUCUGUCCCUCUCUAGGGUAUAUGCUAAUCCAACCUCCAGAUGAGGAUUUGAUCAGCUGAAACCUUAAUUUUAGCCUAUGAGACCCUGUGCAGAGCACACAGCUAAAAUGUGUUAGAUGUGUGACCCACCAAAACUGUGAGGUAAGAGCUUUGUGUGGUUUUGAGCUGCUAAGCUUGCCGUAAUUCGUUAAUCUAAUCAGCAAUAGAAAACUAAAUGUGUGAAACAGUAAAGCUGAAAGAUGAAGAUUGUUUGAUUUAUAAACUGUAAUUAUAUGUGGUUUACAAAGAUACCUAAACCUAAAACUUACAAAGGUUAACAGUGAACAAAUGAUGACAAGUUUACAUGGAAACAUAUCCAUUUAAUUUUAGGCCAUUCAGAUUUCACUGCAAAAAAUUUUAUUUGGUAGCAACAGAGUUUCACUAAGUAGUUUAUGAGGGUGAUAUAAUGAUCAUAAACUUGUAAGCAACUAUAAAAAGCAGGCUGAAAAUAUAUAAAGCAAAAUUGAUUUAAACAUUAGAAAAUGGAAAAUUCUCAUAUAGAGGAAGAUUUUAGUAAAACUUUGUCAAUUAUUUUUAUGUCAGUCAGAUAAAGCUAGUAAAGAUAAUGAAUUAUGGAGCAUAAUUCAUAAAGUAAAUGAAAUAGACAUAUAUAGAUCCUUGCAUCAAUCAUUUAGAAAGUAAACAUUCUUUUAACAUUUUCAAGAUUAUACAAAUGUACAAAAAUAUGAAGCAAGCCUUAUCAAAUUAAUUUGAAUUAUUUCAAAUUUCUGAAAAUUCCUAUCACACAGCCCAUAUUUUGUUGCCACUCUAUUUGAAUAGAAG